UGACGCCAGGUCAGCAUGUCCCUUGAUGCCUCGGGCUGCACUCGUGAUACAAUGGGUAGUACAAAGAGACGCAAUACCGUAAGGUGGAGCAAAUCUUCAAAACUAUCCUCAAUUCGGAUUGAGGUCUGCAACUCGACCUCAUGAAGCCGGAAUCGCUAGUAAUCGUAGGUCAGCUAUACUACGGUGAAUACGUUCCCGAGCCUUGUACUCACCGCCCGUCAACUCAAGGGAGCCGGGAGUGCCCGAAGUCCGUGCUUGUCACGGCCGACGGUAAAUUCGGUGACAGGGAGUAAGUCGUAACAAGGCACGGCUAGCGGAAGCUGGUCGUGGAUUAAUUCCAAU
rnacentral:rRNA from 1 species